AGUAGCGGCGAGCGAAGCGGGAUGAGCCCUAAAUUGAAACCUGUGACCUUUGUGUCCAGGGUUGUAAUGUGGCACUCUUGGGACGUCAGUUUGGGUAAGUGGCAUGAAAAUGUCUACCGCGGAGGGUGAGAGUCCCGUCCAGCCCAUUCAGGACGUAACGUACGGAGAUGUCAAUGUGAGUCGUGUAGCUUGGGAAUGCUGCGCUAAGAUCGGUGGUAAAUCUCAUCGAAGGCUAAAUACUGGUAGGAGACCGAUAGUGAACAAGUACCGUGAGGGAAAGAUCAAAAGCACUUUGAAAAGAGGGUGAAAAGAACCUGAAACCGUUACGAAGGAAGCGUAUUGCGUUGAAUUGGUGGCUAUUAUUGUGUUCAGCCGUUUCGGUGUAUUCACAAUUUGGCUAUCCGUCGUGCCUUUCCUGUGGCUGAAUUUGAGCCGCGGGAGAGGGAGGGAUCCCCUUUAUGGGUUGAGGACGAUGGAGCGGCAACGCGAUGCGACCCGUCUUGAAACACGGACCAAGGAGUCUAACACAGUUGCAAGUUGAAGGGUGGAGAAACCUGGAGGCGCAGUGAAAGCGAACUAUCCAGAACUGGCAGUUUGUGGCGGCAUAAAAUCGUUGAUUUUAGGUCUGACCUAGAGCAGUUGUGUUAGGACCCGAAAGAUGGUGAACUAUGCUUGAGUAGGGCGAAGCCAGAAGAAAUUYUGGUGGAGGCCCGAAGCGGUGCUGACGUGCAAAUCGCUCGUCGAACUCGAGUAUAGGGGCGAAAGACUAAUCGAACCAUMUAGUAGCUGGUUCCCUCYGAAGUUUCUCUCAGGAUAGCGGGCCGACACUUAUUGUUUUGUGCGGUAAAGCGAAUGAUUAGCGCACGCGGGGACUCUUAGUCUUCGGUCGAUUCUCAAACUUUUAAUGCGCAAGGGCACCGGUGCUUUGUUGAGCGGUGCCGAUAAAAAUGUCGGCUUCGUGGGCCACUUUUGGUAAGCAGAACUGGCGAUGUGGGAUGAACCAUACGUGUGGUUAAGGCGCCAAAUUGCUCGCUUAUAGAUCCCAAAAAAGGUGUUGAUUCAUCGAGACAGCACUGCCGAAUGGAUUAGCCCUGAAAAUGGAUGGCGCUAAAGCGGGCAGCCGAUACCACGCCGUCUAUUUAAGAAGAUAAUAGAUGAGUAGGAGGGCGUGGAGGUCGUAUCGAAGCAUGCGUGCGAACGUGUGUGGAACGGCCUCUAGUGCAGAUCUUGGUGGUAGUAGCAAAUAUUCAAGCGAGAUCCUUGAAGGGCGAAGCGGGGAAGGGUUCCACGCGAACAUUGAUUGGGCGUGGGUGAGUCGUUCCUAAGCCGAGUGGUAAUUGCUAUCUAGCGGCGAAAGGGAAGCGGGUUGAAAUUCCCGCACACGGAUGUGGAGGCGGUGACGCUUUAAUGAGACGAGCAUGUUGGCGGUUGCACUGGGCAGAGAUUUCUUUUCUGUUUAACCAGCUCGCGCGCUGUGUGGAAUCCGCUUGUCGGGAGAAACACGCGUACCGGGUAAGAGCGCCGGGAUAUUUUCGGCGUCCAGCUCGCGACCGACGGCCCUUGAAAACUUGUCUGCUGUAUUAAGAUCCACGCCGUGGCGUACCGAUAACCGCAUCAGGUCCCCAAGGUGAACAGCCUCUGUCUAAUAUGAAAAAUGCAGGUAAGGGAAGUCGGCAAAUUGGACCCGUAACUUCGGGAAAAGGGUUGGCUCUAGUGCUGCGUGGGAGUAGUUGUCCAUUGUCGGCCGUGGCUGGCUAGCUGUGAUGGAUCGGGGGGCAACCCUUGGGCCUCUGGCAGGCUGGUUACGUUCGCGGUGGACGACGCCCACAGCAUGCAGCAGACUAGAACUGCAACGGUCAAAGGGAAUCCGACUGUUUAAUUAAAACAAAGCAUUGCGAUGGCCAGGGAUGGUGAUGACGCAAUGUGAUUUCUGCUCAGUGCUCUGAAUGUCAAAGUGAAGAGAUUCAAUCAAGCGCGGGUAAACAGCGGGAGUAACUAUGACUCUCUUAAGGUAGCCAAAUGCCUCGUCAUCUAAUUAGUGACGCGCAUGAAUGGAUUAACGAGAUUCCUACUGUCCCUAUCUGCUUCUAGCGAAACCACAGCCGAGGGAACGGGCUCGGCAAAACCGGCGGGGAAAGAAGACCCUGUUGAGCUUGACUCUAUUCUAAUUUUGUGAAGCAAGCUGGGAGGUGUAGCAUAGGUGGGAGACUUUUGUCGUCCGUGAAAUACCACUACUCCUAGUCUUGCUUUACUUACUGGGUGAAUGUGGACGACUUUUUCAAGUCUGUUUUAGCUCCAAGCGCCUGUUUUUUUAAACAGAUGCGACUACAGCUCAGGACACAUUUAGGAGGGGAGUUUGGCUGGGGCGGUACAUCUUCUACAAGACAACGAAGGUGUCCAAAGAUAAGCUCAGUGAGAACAGAAAUCUCACGUUGAGCAAAAGGGUAAAAGCUUGUUUUAUUUUGAUUUUCAGUGCGAGUCAAAAACGCGAAAGCGUGGCCUAUCGAUCCUUUUAAUAUUCGAGWUYUGAAGCAAGAGGUGUCAGAAAAGUUACCACAGGGAUAACUGGCUUGUGGCGGCCAAGCGUUCAUAGCGACGUCGCUUUUUGAUCCUUCGAUGUCGGC
rnacentral:rRNA from 1 species